rnacentral:rRNA from 1 species
UACGAAGGGGGCUAGCGUUGCUCGGAAUCACUGGGCGUAAAGCGCACGUAGGCGGCUUUUUAAGUCAGGGGUGAAAUCCUGGAGCUCAACUCCAGAACUGCCUUUGAUACUGAGAGGCUUGAGUCCGGGAGAGGUGAGUGGAACUGCGAGUGUAGAGGUGAAAUUCGUAGAUAUUCGCAAGAACACCAGUGGCGAAGGCGGCUCACUGGCCCGGUACUGACGCUGAGGUGCGAAAGCGUGGGGAGCGAACAGG